rnacentral:rRNA from 1 species
GAUGAACGCUAGCUACAGGCUUAACACAUGCAAGUCGCGGGGCAGCAUGGGGGUUGCUUGCCAUCCCCGAUGGCGACCGGCGCACGGGUGAGUAACGCGUAUCCAACCUGCCCUUCACCACGGGAUAACCCGGCGAAAGUCGGACUAAUACCGUAUGUUGUCCAUUGACGGCAUCCGAUUUGGACGAAAGGCUUGGCGGUGAGGGAUGGGGAUGCGUCCGAUUAGCCAGACGGCGGGGUAACGGCCCACCGUGGCUACGAUCGGUAGGGGUUCUGAGAGGAAGGUCCCCCACACUGGAACUGAGACACGGUCCAGACUCAUACGGGAGGCAGCAGUGAGGAAUAUUGGUCAAUGGGCGUAAGCCUGAACCAGCCAAGUAGCGUGCAGGAUGACGGCCCUAUGGGUUGUAAACUGCUUUUAUGCGGGGAUAAAGUGGCCCACGUGUGGGCUUUUGCAGGUACCGCAUGAAUAAGGACCGGCUAAUUCCGUG